rnacentral:lncRNA from 1 species
AGUUAUGUUCUACUGCAAAGAUUAAUUAUCAGAUGAAGAUGGUAUAUAAGAAGCUUAGCUUCCUUAAUUAGAACAUUCAUGAAACGAAAUACUCCUUCCCAGAGACAAGGGUGAAGAUAAAUUUUAUGUUUUCUUUCUCAGUUAUCAAAUUAGGUGCAACUCCAGAGAAUUUAUAUAUAUUUAGAGAUCAAACAUGUUUGAAAGCAGAAGAAACCCUAAUUUAAGAACAGUACCUUUCAGUAAUGGUAUAGGAUCUGCUACCGCCAUAUGAACUGGAAUCUGUUGAUACUGAAUUGCACAGUAGUAUUUUCAAAAGAAAAAAAAAAACAUUUACUCAAAUAUUUCCACAAAAUUCACCUCCUGAACAUGUACUAAAGGACAAUAUUUAUUUAUUGAACAUACAUAUAGAAAUCCAGAUCUAUACCUUUUAAUGGUUUCAGACACUUGCACUAGCACAGUGUCACAACAAACAACCAAGAAAAGCCAUAUGGUGUUCGAUAUUUAUUCAACAGGAGGAUUCAACAGUCAUAGAACUCUAUGGAAACACAAACCCACCAGUCCACAUACCGUAGUAUAAUCACGCCAUCUUCGGCGACAGCCUAAACCAAAGCCCAAAUAGUAUGAACCAUGAGCUCCGAUAAUUUAAGAUGCAAAAACAAAGAAACCCACACAGAUAAAAGCUGGAAAAGACAUGUAGAUUUGCUAAAUCUAGCAAAUAAUCGGACCAAGAUGCUUCAAUUCCCCGAGAGAAGAUGAGAGAGUGAUGCGGAAUAGAAAAGCAGCCUUUCACUUCACCCAUAAUAGAAUAAUAUUAAUGGGAAUGAAAGGUAGGGUUUCUUCCUCUUCAGUGAGCCCAUCUUCUCUUUCUCCUCCUCUUUGUGGUGCUGGGAAGUAUGGUGAGGUGGUUGGUGGUGUGGAGAUGAUGAAAGUGAGGGAUUAAUAAUGAGGGGAAGAGGGGAGAGAACAUGAUGAUUGCUGCAGUGUGUUUUGCGUUGAAUGGAGGGAUAUAAAUCCAAAGCAUAGCGUGCUUCCUCUGAGGGGUUUGUUGGGUUCUUAUUCACAUGGAGAGAUAAUCAUACCAUGAAACCCCAUGACACCAUCCUUUUUCUGGUUCCUACCCCAAAAGAAACUCUUCAUUAUAUCCCCUACUUAUAAAGACACCCUCUACUUGACCUUUUGUGUGUGUGUGUCAAUAUGUCUCAUUAAAAAAAAAAAAAAAACCCAAAAUUUUCCUUUAUUUUGAAUCACAGGUCUAAAAUAUUUUUAACUCAUUUUUCCUUGUGCAUAUGACUGACUCACUGACUGAAGUCUGAAUAUAUAUGGAUACUGUUGAAGGUCGUUACUGCUGUAAACACUGUUGAUAUCAAUGAAAAGCACGAUCCGGAGUUGGGAGUCCUGUGGACCCGUGAGAGACUGUAGUCUGUAUGAGUAUAAGACAGAGGAAUCGGAUUCUUUAGGAGAAUAAGCAAAACGGGAACUGCCAUUAAGCUGCGCCAUAAACAAUCAAUUUUGAGGGUAUGUUUAGAUGAGAAAGCUUCCCCAUUUUUCACAACAUGUUCGUUUCAGAAUAAUAUGCGACUGGAAAAGGAACCAUCCUCAGACCUUCUCUUCUGCCUGUGCAUAUAACGCCAAGGGAUCCUAUUUUUCAUUUUCACCCCGUGUCUUUUCAGUUUUCACACUCCGUGGACCCAAUAAGCUUAGGGAGUUUUCCAUUAAAUAUUGAUGAUUAUGGAGAUGAUGAUAACGAAGAUUAUGGCACUGGGAAUGGUGACAGAGUCAAUGAUGAUCAUGUGGAUUACAGCAAUGAUGACUUCUCAAAUUCAUCCUCAAAACUCCAGCUAAUAAAUGGGGUCGCAGCUAGGGAUUGUUUGGGAAACAAGUGAGAUGCCUAUUUUUUAAGCUAUAUAUUUGAUUAAAAGGGUGAAAUAAUAACCUUUCACCUAUUUUAGUUAAAAAAAAUUGAUCAAGUUUUAACCAAAAAAGAAAAAAUACUCUUCAUUUUUCAUCUAAAAAAACAUUUUUUAAAGUGGGUUUUAAUUCAUUAAAUAUGAAAAAAGAAACCCUAAAUUUUUUAAAUAAUUUGAAAUACAUUUAUUUUUUAGUGAAUCAUUUAAUUAUUUCCCAAAAUACUCAUUUGAAUUAUCAUGUCAUUAAUAUCAAUUAAUAAUUAGACUUUUCCACGUAAAUAUUUCCCUUCCUUUUAGAUAUUUAUUCACCCCGUAAUUUUUUUUUUCUUCUCUCCAUCAACAAACAUUCCAUAGGAAAAAUGAGAUAGGACAUUGCUUUAAUGAAAUUAUUUUUAAAGAGACCUUGGAAAAAACCAUAUACCUUAUUUCCUACAAAACUCAAACUCAUCCACAGUCCAUUAGGGUUUUAUUACUUUUAAUGUUCACGCUUUUCAAACUUCCUCAUUUUUACUAUGGGGUGUUUGUUUAUGGAGAAAAAAAAAUCUUAAAUUUUCUAAUGAGAUGUUCGUUCUAAAUGGAAAAAAAAUCCCAAAUAAUAAUAAUAAUAAAUAUCUAAAAUAAAAGAAAAUAUCUACUAGAGAGUUUAGUUGUCAAAUGAUGUUAAUGACAUAACAAGUUAAAUGGGCAUUUUAAUAAAUAAUUGGAUGACUCAUUAAAAAAUGUAUGUAUUUUAAAUAGAUAAAGAUAAUAUUGAUUUAAAAUAUUUGAGGUUUUUUUUCUAUAUAUUUUCAUAUUAGUGAAUCAAAACCUACUAUUUAAAAAAAAAAAAAAAAUCUUACAUAAAAAUAAUGUAAAUAUAUAAAUACGCUUAUGUAAAAAAUAAAUUAAUUUUUAAGUUCAAACGUAAGAGAAGUUAUUUUUACAAAUUUAAGGGUCUAUUUAGUUAUGUUUUUUUAAAUUUGUUUUUUAACAUUGGUUUUUAUUCUUUAAUAAAAAUAGUUUUUAAAAACAAAUUUUAAGAAAUAUAACCAAAUGGACCCAUGUUUCCUUCUAUUUUUAAAAAUAAAUGAAAACAAUUUUUUCUUAUUUUUUAAAAAUUAUUCUUUAUUUCACUUUAUUUUUAAAAAUUAUUUCUACAAAACAACGAUAAAACAGUAUUAAAAAUUUGUAAAAAUAGUUUUUUAUUUUUAAAAGUAAAAAACCAUUUUAAAAUCAUACAACCAAUUAGAGUCUUUGACUAUUCCUCCUAAUAAAAAGAAUUGAAGAUUGAUCUCAAAAGAAACAUAAAGACCGAGAAUAUUUUGAAUAAAUGUUUUUGAGUUUUUGAAAAUAAUUUUUUAAACUUAUUUUUUGAAAACAAUUAAGAACCAAACGAAUUUUCAAAGGUAGCCAUAAAUUUUGAAAAUUUACUUUUACAACUAAUAUACCAAAACAAUCAUUGUGUUUAAUUUUCAUUUUUCAAAAUGAAAAAUUCUUAAUAAUAACAAUAAUAAUUUUUUAUUAUUAUUAUUUUGACUGUGGGUAAAACUCUUUCAUACCGAUACUACGCAUAUUUGAAAAAGCACUGACUUCUAUUAAAAUCUGGGAUCACUUAAAAAACAAUGAUAGUGUGUCGGCUCCAUCUAGCUAGUACGUAUUCAAAUCAUGAUGAUAAUAGGUGCACCGUAGCAAAUUUUGGCAUAAAGUAAAAAUGGUUUUUCUAGUAAACUGAAGUUGCUUCGAAGUAAAGGUCGUGAGAAUUGGUGCAUCAGGAAAGCACUUUUUCAUAUGCUCCAUGAUUAAAAUUCACAACCAGCUCUCUCAGAGGAGAUUAAAGGGCAGGGAAAAGAAAUUAAAGUCACCCCUUCAAUCCUCUCUUAGUGACUUUAGGUUUGACCCUAGUAAAGUUUCCACUUCCAAUGGAUCACUUUUCUACUUUUCUUUCUUUCUAAUCAACUUCUCUUUUAGGAUUCAGGCUGGUCUAGAGGCCAAUUACAACACACAUCCGCAUAAUCUCAAUGUCUCGGAGGAGUGCUUCUGUCUUUUCAUUGACAAAUUAAACAGUGCCAUGGAUCUCUGGCUUUAAAUAAGAACAAAAACAAAUAGCAAUCUUCUUUACAGUUAGUGGAGACAGUGCCCCAUGGCGCCUUUUGGUAAUGCCCACCAAAAAGGUGGAGGGCAAGGAAAGCUGAUGGGGAAGUCGAGUGUGUGUGGAUAUUGGGUGAAUAUUCAGACUAUGUCUUGUGGGGCAAAAUACCCAUUCUUACGCUCGUCUCACGUGAGGCUGUCCUCCCAACUUACUUCCUCAUUUCGGAUAAUUUUUAAUAUUAUUUUUAAAGGCAUCAAAGUGAUUCAAUUUUUUAUUCAACCAUGAAGAAAAAAAUACAGAGCCGUAAGAAAAUAUUGCACUAAUUUUCAUAUUAUUUGAACUUGGGGUUAGUCCACAUGAUAUGAACUUAAAAGUCAAAGGAUAACUUUUAACAUAGGACUUUUACAAAAAUGUAUUGAUAUUUGACACACAUUAAAAUGAUUUAAGUUUUAGUAAGAGAAGAACGUGAUUUGAAAUUUUUGCGGGUGGCCCGACACGUGGUAAAACCCAUAUGAAGAGCGUGUCUAGCGUGACGCAUGAGAAGCAAUUUCCUCUAAAUUGCACAAAUCAUAUUUAUAUUUUAAAUUGAGUGUCGAAAUACAACUUUGAACAUUUGAAUGAUUUGGAUUCAAAAGUCAGUCGUCCAGAUGAUAGACUUUUAGAAUUCAUCAAAGUAUUUAUAUAAAAGGCAUAUAUAAAACAUAUAUUUUAGUGAAUUUAAUGGAUAGGAAAUUCUUCAUCACUAAAAAAUGUUUAUUUUUUAAAAUUUUACAAUAUUAGAAAUGGUAAUAUAAUUUUCAUUUUAAAAAAAAACCUGUAACAAGAGCUUAUGAAAGGAUCUUAGAAAGGUUGUACUCAUUUUUUUUAACUUAAUGUCUAUUGUGUAGUGUUCUACCUUUGCAUGAAAAGUGAGUAAUAAAAAUUCAUAUAUGGAAGGCUUACACAACAAUGCUAUUCAAAUUUUUUUUUGAGGGCAUAGACUUGAUAAACAAGCAAAAUUUGAAGCGAUUGGUGGGUUACCUAGGUACCUCUAUGGCCUUGAAUCAUACAAUAUUAAGUGGAGCGUGGAGUUGUUGUAAAAUAAUAUUAAAGUCUAAUAUUAAGGCAGAGAUGUGCUUGUUGAGCCUAAGAAAAUGGAUAACAAUACUCGAAGAGUGAGUGGUGAAGAGUUAUAUAUGAAAGGUUUGUACAAUAACAUUAUCAAAGUUUUUUUUCAAAAAUAAAGGUCUAAUAAAGAAAUAAAAUUGGGUAUCAAUAAUAUCGAGUGAAGAGUGGGAUUGUGAUAGAAUGUAAGGGGGAUGGAUUGUAAUGUCCCACGCCACCCCGAAAGUAAAUGGUGAAGAAUCAUAUAUAGAGGACUUAUAUAACAAUAUUAUUAAAACUUUUUCUUUAAAGGUAAAGGUCUAAUAAAGAAGCAUAAUCGAAACCCAAAUCUAAUAAUAUUGGGUGGAGAGUGGAUUGUUUUUUUUUUUUUUUUUUUUUUUUUUUCUAUUUAUUGCUUAUUUUUAACUUUUUUUUAUUAAAUAAUAAAUAAAAUAAUAAUAAUAAAAAACAUGAUAUUUAAUACUAUUCAAAUGUUAGGUUGCCUUUCUUUGAUUUAAAAUCAAUAAUCAUUCUCCACCAUGAACUUUGGUAAACCUCCAUAAGUGACAAACAAAUAAUCAUUAAAAAUAUGAAACUGAGAAUUCAUCACCCAUAGGAUUCUUUUCUCACGCAAGCAAUAUUAUGGUGGAGUGAUUAAUAAUAAACACUAGCUUUUAAAUAGUAUACAAAGCACAAUAAUUAACGUAUUUUUUAAUAACAAAUAAAGUAAUUCAAUUUUCAUGUGGAGACAAAUACAUAGCCAUAAUCCGAAUAAGCAUAUUUUCUAGUAAUAAUGGGCUUUUUAUUUAAUGCAUGUUUUUAGGAUUUAGUAUCCAACUAAACCUUAACCUCUCAUCUAAUUUUGACAUUGUAAUGAUUAUAGUUACGUAUUUUGGUAUAAGAUUAAGUCACAAUCUUAGGUACAUGGCAUGGAUUGUAUAUCUUUUGCCUGCCCAAAAAUGAUGCACCAUGUUGCCCAUGGAGGAAUCGUAUACGACUAAAUUUUUCUGCCUUUCUUUCAGACUCGAAAUUUAAAUAAAUUUUAUGGCAAAAUCAGCCAAAACUGAUGGUGCAGACCUCAAAAAUAGUCACUCUCAGUAGACUUUUUCUAAACUAGGCCAAACAUUUCUAAAAACGUACCUACUAAUUUAGAAUUGGGCCCAUCUAACAACCUAGACAGAAAUUUAUGGUCCGCAACAUUAAUCUUGUCAAAUCACCGUUUGGUUGACUGCCGACCUUUUUACCUUCCUCAAAAAUUUUUAUCCCGAGUUCCAGGAAAUGUUAUUAACAUAUAUGGCCCCCAAAAGCGGAAGCUUCUAAGUAAGCCUCCACAAGGUAAUGCCAAAAUCAAGGCUUUUUGUUGUAGGGGAUAACAUAGAUUUAAAGCUAUAUUACUUUUUGAUAAAUGUAACUUAUGUAUUAAAAAAUGUGCCCUCUUGUUUUUUUAUGCCACAUCAAAAUCCACAGGCCUCAUCUUUUGCAAAACCGGAAGCUUCCCGAGGAUGCCUCCUCCGCUAGGUAUGUCAAAUCGAGGUUCAUUUCGAAGGGGAUGGGAUAAAUUAAAAUUUUAAUUUAACUUUUCUAAAUUCUUGCAUGAAUGUUGGAUAUUUACGAAAAAAAAAAAUGUGCAGUGUAGAAUUUUUAUGCCAAAUCAGAUCUCUGGUCCCCCUUGUUUUAAAAAAUGGAAGCUUCCAAGGAAGCCUCCCCAAGGUCAUGCCAAAUCCAUACAGGUUGUACAAGAUGGAAUAGUGUAGAUGGAUGUUACAUGGGUACAAAUAUGUAUAUCUACUGUAUUGUUUUUUAUGCCACGUCAAAUCAAUGGGACUCACUUGUGCAAAAGGUGGAAGCUUCAAGGAAGCCUCUACAAGGUUAUGACAUUCAAGAUUUCGGGCCUAAGCUUAUCAAGGAAGCCUCGAGGAGUCUUCCUCCGACAUGAUCGAGGAAGAAGAAGGGUGACCCAAUAACCAAGGAAGUAGAGAAAGUCUCCGUGCUGAGGUUUCCACAAGUCACCUAAAAGACCCUCAAGGACUAAAAUUAACGAAGAAGGAAAUUUGGCAGCUGAUCCACAACUUAAAGCAUAGUGUCAGAUAAGCCAAUUAAUAUAGACCAAUUUGAUCCGACCCGGCCAAACUCAUCUUCCUGUCUACGCUUGGUCAUGCCCAGCCAGACCCGCUUGCGUGAAUGUGCAGGUCGAGUCUGCUUCUUUGCAUUGGGCCAAUUGGUGGUGCGAGCAUAGGCUUAGGGGUGCUGCUGAUACACACAAAUUUCUCUUUAAAGAGAAAUUAUAUAUGAUUAGGUUAAAUUUUUAUUGAUUUAAAAAUCACGAGUAUUCUCUAUUUUGUCUUCUAAUUUUUUAUUUUUUAUUUACUAAUUAAGGGUUUGAAAAAACUUGAUGCCGAAUAACUUGAACUUAAUUUGGAUAUUAAUUUAAUUUAAUUUUGAGUCUUGACUUGAUUAAGGUCUUAUCUUGUGUUGAGUCUUGGCGUAAUUUAGACCUCAACAUAAUAUCCUUAGCAUGACUUGAAUCUUAACUUGAAUUGAGUUUUGGUGUAACUUGAGUUUUGACUUGGCUUGGAUUUGACUUCAUUUGAACAAUGUCAAUUAAAAGUUUGAGCAACUUGAUCUCAAAUCAAAGAGAUCUAUAUAGAUUAUUCGAAGAUACUUCAAAGAAAUUGAAGAUUCUUUCAACAAUAGUUAAAAGUGCCUUCUAAAGGUUUAAAGAAGUCUUAAAUCUCCCUUAAAGAGCAUUACUACAACUUUUAUCUUUUAAAUUACUUUAAAAGCUUUGAAAUUAAUUCUAUUUUUAAGAAUUUGAAACACAAUAUUUGAAUAGUUUUCUAACUAUUUAAAACCAUUAUUAAAAUAACUAUUUUGAGAAAUUUGAAGACCAUAUUUGAUCGUCAUAACCCUUUGAAACAUACCCGUAGGCUUCAUAUUAUCAAUUGGUUAAAGCAUAGUGGAGUGUAGAGGUUUCAAAUUAAUCAUAAUUAAGUAUGAAGUUGCAAUCCCUUUGUCCACAUCAGUGAUACUUUUGCCACUAGUGUCAUCCUCAAAUUCUUUAACAAACGUGUUCAUUUGUAUUUGUUUUUAUGAUAAGCACUAUAUUAUGUACUUGUGUAGCUAAUUCCUUAAAAGUUUUUAGUUUGAUACAUGUAAUAUAGUUCCUUGGUUAUAAAUUUCAUUAGAAAAACUUUCAUACAAUUUACAUUCAAGAUUUAAAUUUCUUUACUUUAUAUAAUCAAUCACUAGUUCAUAUUUUUAUUGUUUAAUAUUGGUAUUUCAAACAUGCUGAUGCAAUGUCAACUAACCUAAAAACUAUUAAGGAACUUUCCAUUUAUUCCAAAUUAUCGAUAAUAUUGAUUUCAAGAUUUGUAUACCAAUCAAAUUUAUAUUCUUUUAAAUGAGCAAAUAAAUUACUUGACUAAAAGGCUCAGUUCAUUUGUGAGGAAAAACUCAUUUGAAAAAGCUUGAAUGUUUUUUGUGGCAUGUUUUCUUCUGAAACAUAUUUUAAGCUUAUCUUAAGAUGCAUCUUAACGUGGAUAUGUGAUUUCAUUUGUUGAUCCUAUUACAAUUCCAAAUUUGUGAAAAAAUGUAUCGAUCUUAAAAUCUUGCUCUUGAUUGUGUUAUAUAAGUUCUUUUAUAGUUCUUUAUUUGUUUGAAGAAUGGUGUGCGUACAAUCAUAGUUUGAAAAGGUGCAGAAGCCUUCUAAAGUUUAAGUGCAAGAUGCAACACAAAGUAUGCAUUUGAGUGAAGUAAAAUGCAACCUAGGAUGCAUAUCGAGUUUAUAAAGUAUGAUUCGAAAUCUAAUCCAAUUAAUAAAAUUUAAGAUUCCACACAUUUAAAAGAAAAAUUCAAUAAAAAAUAAUGAAAUUAUAUACAUUUCAAUGUAAUAUUAAAAAAUUUAAGAAUUAAAUGGUUUAAAAAGAAAGAGUAACACCGACAAGAUAUGAUUCUUCAAUAAGACAUAUGUCUUGACAAGCAAAGUGUUACGAUUAGAAAGUAAUUGCUCUUUAAGUCUAUACGUGUUUAAAACAUCCCUUUUAAAAUUAUGGGUAAAAUAUCUACUUUUUCCUCUAAUUCUUUCGACUUUCGGUAAUAAUUUUUUUUACACCUUCUAGGCUAUGACCAAAAGAAAUGACAUUAGUAGACUCGAGAAAAUUUUAAGGUACUGAAGCAAUAUGGUACCAAAUUCAAAAUCUAAGACUGUUGAAGUAUAUGAUUAAAUAUAGAGCACUAUAUUCAUCAUUUGCAUAUGGUUAAAUAUAAAGUAAUGGGCAUUUACUAUGUGGCAUUUUUUAAUAGGAUGAGACUUUUCCAUAGCCAAAAAUAUCUUUUUGGUAGCAUAGUGGCAACAAUGAUGUAACACAAAGCAGAGAGAUACAACCAUUCGCUACUUUCUCUCACUUUCUAAUCGAAAAAGUCCCACUAAGGCCUAGGGGUAAGAAUGAGGUCAAGUAGUCUGGUUUUUUGGUCUCCAUUUGACUUCCACAACAAUUAUUUGCCAAUUUCGAUAUUUUGAUUCGUUCCGUCGAAGGCAUUUUGAUGAUAAUUGAUUGUUUGGUGGCGUGUUCUGUAGGGAUCAGAGCUUCAUCUCAAGCCUGCAAAUAUUCCCUCCAACACUACUUGCAGCAGCAACUUUAGGCACAAAAUCACAAUGAGAGAUGAUUUCGCUUUCGCUCUUACAGGGAGCGGUGGACAGAUUUAACAUAGCCUACAAUGGCCUGAAAGGGUCGGUUGGGUGAGGCCUCUGUGCUAGCCAUUCUUCGACCCAACUUACUUAGGGCCUGGCCCAGCCUUUGAUCUUCCAAUAUUUGAGAAGGUGCUUAAGGUAUUUGCAGUUUUAAAAAAUAUUUUCUGCAUUUGUAUUUUAAUACCAAAAUUUAGGAUAGCAAUCAUGCCACGUUGAAAUGUCAUGUAGGAAGAAUAUUGUGUGACUGACGUCCUCGAUUUAUGAGUGAUUUUUUUUUCCACGAUUUUUGGAUUUUUAAUUUUUAAUUUUUAAUUUAUAUCAUUAUUUUAUUUUUAUUUUUUCAUAUUUAUCACGUUAAUUUUUAUUUUUAAAUAAAUUACAAUUUUUUGUGUGUACAUUUACGUUUUAUUUUUUAUUUUAAUUUUAAAAUAUUAAAAAGUAAAUAAAACUAUUGACAAAUAACUAAAAUGCAAAAACAGUUAAUAAAAAAAGUAAGUUUUUAAAUAUUUUAUAAAAUAUAAGGUGGUGUUUGUUUUUUUACUUAAUUCUAAAUAGAACCUUAAUACUUAAUAGUAUUAAAUAUUAGGUUGUUUGUUUUUGUAGUAUUUUAUUUCUAUUAAGUAUUAAAAAGUAAAAAAAACCAUUGCGUUAUUUUUUCUAUUUAGAAAAAGCCACAUAUUUUGGCUUUUUCUAUUUAGUAAAAAAUUUAUAAUAAGUCAUGAAAAAGUAAAAAAACAAACAACCUAAAUUCUAAAACUAAAUGGUUUUCAGUAAAAAGCCAAAAAAACAAACACCACCAAGUCUUAUAUAAAAAUUAAGUUUAUAAGAUAAAUCAUAAAUGCAACUUUCGAUAAUUCUAAUAAAAUAUACUAAUGUCAGGCAGAUUUUUUAACCAGACUUUUUAUUUGAACUUUGAAAUAAAAUAUUUUAUUUAAAAGUUUUGAAUGAUUUAAUUUUGCCUUUCAUAUAUAAAAUGUUUUAUUUUUUUUAAAUAAAUGAACAUGUGGUAAACAAUUUUAAGAUCGUUUUAGAAAAAAAAUUAGGUAAUUUUAAAUUGAUUAAAAAAUUCAAUAAUUUUAAAUAGUUUAAAAUUAUUUAUUUUCAAGAUAUAUAUUUUAACUAGUUUAAAAUUAAUUUAUUUUCCUAUUUAUGCUUAAUUAAUGUAACUAAUUUUAUCAUUUUAUACAAUUCACAUUUCUUAUGUACAUAUAUUAUAUUAUUAACUUUAUAAUUUUGCCAUAAUAAUUGCCAUUCAAUCAUUUUUUUUUUUACUAUGUUUCCUAAAAUUUCUAUAAAAUAAUCCAAUAACAAAUGUUCCAUCCGAUGCUUUCAUCUUUUAUCAUUAGAUGACAAAGCAUAAGGUUUUUUAAGCUACACCGCUAGACGUGGCAAAGGAUAGUAAUAGAUAAGUCUUUUGAUUAUUUGAUGAUAACGAAACGAGUUUGAAAUUUAAAUGAUAAUAAUAAUAAUUUUUAAUAAAAUAAUUUAUAAAAAAUUAUAAUAUUUUAAGUAUUUAUAAAAUAUAUUUAUUUUAUAAAAGUAAAUUAUAAAAAUGUGUUUACUUAUAAAUUAUAUUUCUUUGAUAUAAUUAAAAAUUUUAAAUAAAAUCAUAAUCCACUUUUUCUUUCCCAUCCUGCCCCUGCUUUAGGUUUAGGAUAGGGUGAAAAUAUAUUUAAGUUAAUUGGAGUAUGGUCAUGAUUAGUCAUGAUUACAUCCAUAAUUACCACUAAACAAAGAUUAGUUGUUAAUAAUGUGACAGCUAUAGUUAGUUGUUUUACAACUCAAACCAUUUUAGAUCUUAUGAAAAUCUUAAAAAAAAAUUAAGCUAAUUCAACAUGAGGUAAUCAUCCUAUACGAUAUGUGAAUAGGGUGAUGGUUUUUUUUUAUAAAUUUAAACUAUGUGAAUGCAAAAAACAAUUAUAAACAAAUAUAUAAUAAAACAAUAUAAAGACAAUUGCAUGUAAAAGAGUAAGGAAGAGAGAAUACAAAUAUAAGAUUUUUAUAGUGGUUCGAUACAACUUGACUUACGUCCACUUUCCUCUAACUUCAAUCACAAGUUUGAGGUUCUACUAAUUUAAGGUUUCCAACACAAGCCUUCAAUUAAGUAAUACAAUUGAAUUAUAGUUCCAAUAAACCAUUUUGGACUUUUGGCUCCAAAUACCCUUUAUAAUCCUUAAGAGAUAUAUCACUUUUGAACAACCCCUUAAAUGAUAUCCCACACUUAAAAAUCCCAAAACGAUACCCCAUGCUUAGAUUUUUCUUCUCAAAGAUUUACAAAUGAGGAUAAAAAAUAUUCUUACAAAAUUUUAGUACAAAACUUUAAGUUCAAAUGAUAUAAGAAAAUUAUGAUUGAAUGGUGUACUAAAAAUAUGCAAGUUUUUGAACAAGGUGAACUAAAAAAACACUCUUCUAAGGCUCAAAUAUAUUCAAGAAAGGUUUAAGAAGGUUAAACUAUUGAAACAAUGAAGAUUUAAGCUUUUUUAUAGAGGAAAAAUGUCAAACUAGCCAUUGGAGGUUCGUCUCAUGGAGCUCAAACUUGAUUGGUUUGCUAGCCGUUCGAAUUUAAUGCAUGACAAGUGACCAUUGGACUUCGACUAUCCCUUGACCAUCACUCAAUCGGUCCUCGACUUGUUGAACAAGCGGUUUAGAAGAGAGAUAAUGUUUUUACACCUUUUGACUGGUUAAACUAAAUAGGUUGAUUGGUUUCUCAUCUGAUUUAACUAGUUGAGUUGUUUGUGGUUCAAUAACCAUUUUUUUCAACUUUAAACAUUUUAAACAAGUUUGGAAAGCAUUUGACACAAAGUUUUAAUUAAAAACAUGAAAUCAUCCAAUUUUAAAAGAUUUAAAACAAAAUAACCAUUGGAUGAUUUUGGUGCAUAAAUAAGAAUGUAAUGUAUGAAAAACAUAGUGUACUAACAACCUUACAAAAAAAUUCUAUAAAGCUUAGGUCUUGAAAAACACUUUUCUUUGAGGUAUUUUCUUCUUAUUGAUUUUCCUUUGUCUUGAUUUUGUAUUUAUGAUUGUCACUUUGAAAAUCUUCUUACCUAAUCACAUUUCAAAUAUAAUUGUUAGUUCCAAAUCUUGUUUUAUUAUUAUCAAAAUCGAGAUUAACCAAAUUUUGGUUUCACAAAAACUAAUAUCCAAAAAGAAAAAAAAAGUUUUAAUGUCAAAAUUUUAAAAUUAGAACUCAUUAAUAAAAUGUGCUUUUCCUAAGGGUCUUCUUUGUAAAAGAAAAAUAAAAUAAAAUAUAAAUGUCAUAAAAUUUGAUUUUAUUUUUAUUUUUAUUUUUUUUAAAAAUAAAAAAAUAAUAUAUAUAUAUAUAUAUAUAUAUAUAUAUAUUUUAAAUAUAAGCAAAAAUAUUUAAAUUUAUUUCUAUCUUGGAUCUUGGACCUAUAACUAAAUGUGAAAGUUUACAUAAAUUCCGAUCAUAUGCAUUGUACAUAUCUAAAAAUUUUACAAACUUUUUUUAAAAUUGGCCGCUUAUUAUUUUGAAAGUAAGAUAAGGGGAUAAAAAUUAAUUAAUAUAUUUUAUCUAACACUUAUCAAAUUUUAAUAUAUUUUAUAUUAUUUAUUUUAUGCUAAGAUAAAUACAUGAAUAAAAAUAUAUGCAUGAUAUUGUGUUAUUUUUAUUUAUUUUUUAUUUCAUAUAUAUUACUUGUAAAAUUUAAUAUUUUGGUCACAAUUUAUUUUACUAUAGUCUAAUUGAGAUUGUAUGAGAAUUGUUUUAAAAAUUAUUUUUUAUUUUUGAAAAGCUUUUUUUUUUUUUUUUUUAAACUCAAAAACAUGUUUAAUAGUUUUUUUUAAUAAAAAAAGUUCUUGGAGAAUUAGUCUUGUAAAUGGAGUGUUUUUUAAGAAAAUAUUUAAUUAUUUUCACUUGUUUUUAAAAGUUAUUUAAAAAAAUAAUUAUACAAGAUUAAAAAUAUAAUACUAUAAAUAGAUAUUAAUUUAAAGGAAUAUUUAAAAACACAAAAAAAUAGGUUGAGAACGUUUUCAAUUCUCGAAAAGACUUUUGUUCUAAAAACACUAAAGAAUUGUUUUUGAAAGUUAUUUAAAAAACUUAUUGUUAAUAACUUUAAUUAUUCUCACAAAUUUUAUAAACUCUAUUCAUUUCUAACUUCAAUUUUAUUUUAUGUUUUUCUAAGUAGUUUUAUUCAAUUAGUACUUUUAAAUUUAUUCUUUUUGUUUAGAUUUUUUAUUUUUAUGAAGAAUAUACAUUUUAGAAAAAAAAUAAAUUUUAAUUUAGAUUAGAAUAAGGAAAAGUAAUAAGAUAAUGAGAAAUAUUUUUGGAUUCUUUUUAAGAUAAAAAGUAGAGUAAUAAGGGGAGAGAAUGAAGAAAUUUGGCGAAGGGGACUAAGGGUUUAUUUGGUUGGUGUUUUUGAAAAUUGUUUUAAAAGAUGGUUUUUAAAAAUUGUUUUUAGUAUUUUAAGAAACGAAAUUAAUUUUGGGACUGAAAAACAGUUUAUGUUCCAAAAAAAAAAAAAGAAGAAAAAAACACGUUUAAUUGAGUUAAUAAAAAAAACUUUUUAGAACAAAUAAAAUAAAAAACAUAUUUGAAAGUUUUUAUUUUAUUUUAUUUUUAGUUGAGUGUUUUUUUUCAAUUAACUUGAUAUUAUAAAUCUCCUUUCAUGUCUUUUCCUAUGAUUACAAAGGUUCAAAAAUGUUUUUUUAUCCAUUAGAAAUAGUUGACAGCAUGUUUAAGGUGAUCAUCUAUCAUAUCUUUUAGGAAUUAUGUGCCACUUUAAUAUUUACGUCAUUUGAGCUGUAUAUUUCCAUGAUAUAUUUCAACAAACUUAUAGAAUAUGGUUAAGAACAUGCACUGGUGGAGGAGGUCAAAUGCCAAGGGCACCAAACCUAGCCCUGAGUUUUCCAAGAAAACUCAUCAAGUCAAAGAAGGGCCAGUUGAUUGGCUUAGAGGGAACUAACCUCAAUUUACCACUCCAUAAUACAAAUCUAGGUAAAUUAGGAUCCCUAAAACAAGAUCAUCCUUCAAACCACUACCCACCUGCAACAAAACAAGAAUGCAACAUUUACCUACAAUAUAGAACAAUGUUUCAGGGAAAUAAAUUAUCAAUAACACUAGCUCAAAAAUUGAGAAAAAAUAGAAAAGGACAAAAUAUUUAAGCCAUACAACAAUAGCAACCCCAAAUUGAAAAACGUCAUGGUGAUGCUAGAGAAUGUAUUUAGCAUCAAUUUUGACAAAUUUGCAUAUAAUAAACAAAAGAAAAGUAGUUUUGCGCUCAUGUUAUUGUAGAUUUUGGUGGGCAUUGCAGGUAGAAAUGGUGUUUAUAAGAAGUAAUAUGAUCCUUUCAAUAGAGAUAAUAAUUGGGUUAAUACAGCCUAGGUCAUGCUCAAACCUUAAUUAGGACCAUGGUGAGAAUAGAAUCGGAGGGAUGGAAGCUAUUAGGGCCUUCUUUCUAGAGAUAGUCGUCCCCCUCCAUGGUGGUUACCCUUGACGCUAUCUCUCACAUUUGUCACAAUCACAUUGCUGCCUACAUCACCAUGCUUGGUGGCAAGAGCUCGAGUGAUAUAGAGGCUAUUGAUUCCUCUCCCGACGAUGACACAGUCCACUGGCAAGUAAUUAUUUUCAUUGCCAACCUUGGAGGAAGAAAUUGUAGACUCCCAGUCCCAGUGAUAGAGCAUCGAAAUUUCCAUGGCCUAGUGCAAUUGUUCUAAGUGUGUCUAGAGAAAAAUGGAAAAUUGCAGUGGAGAUUUACAGGAGAAAAAAGGUGAAGAGUGGGAGGGUCAAUGAGAAUAAGAGUGGGCAUGGCGAGGAAGAGAGUAAGAGAUGGUUAGAACAAGAAAUGUGAGAAUAGGAGAAGAAAGGAUUGAAAACACGAAGAGCAGAGAUGUUUUUAUUUAUUUUCUAAACAAUAAAAAAACAAGAAAAAGAAUUUUUUAUUGUUAUUUGAAAAUAGACAUUUAGAAAACAUGAAGAAUAGUGAAAACAAUGGGGCUACUUCCCAAAUGUGUGUGUGUGUUUUUUAUUCUUAAGAAAAAAAAAAUUCAAAAAACACCAACCAAAUAAGCCCUAACUCUUCCUUUUACUUGAUCUCCUCAUUUUUUAUUAAUCAAGGGAAAAUAUUAAAUAUUAAAAUUCAAUUAGUCACAAUACCUCUUUAGUACUAUUGCAAAAUUUUUCUUAUUUAGUAAAAAUAUAUAUAUUUUUUUGACAUAACUCAGUCCGCUCUUCUUAAAAACUUUAAUUAUUCACGUAAUCAUAUGUUUCAAAUGUUUCUAAUUGUUCAUAUUUUAAGAUCUACAAUCUGUUAAGACCUUUGUUGCAGAUCCUUUGCUUAAAAAGCUUAUAAAUCUUUAAUUGAAUAUACUAGGGUUUCUCAAACAAAGUGAUACUUCACAUCAAGUUAUUAAAUCCUUAACCAAGUGUUCAUUUAUGAAUGCUUAGUAAGGAUCUUGUAAUAGUCAAAUUCUAAUUAACAUGAAAUCCUAUAAACCAGUGUAAUGUACUAAGAAUGAAUAAGAAAACAUCAAAUUUAUAUAUUGGAAUUUUGAAUAAAUCAGAAAGACCAAGAACUUUUUCUAUCUUUUAGAUUGGUGGAUUCAAUUUAAUUAAAACAUCAUGACUUAUUGGAUAGUUGGAAUAGGAAUUAUAUUUCUUGAGAAAUCCAUGUGAAAAAUAAGUGUUAUUACAUGUUUAAUGAUUCCCAUGGUAUGGUAGCUCUUGGAAUUAAUUAGGAAAAGAGAUCCAAGAAUCAUUUAGGUUUUGGAAUUAGGAUAAAACAUCCAUGUUUAUUAGGUAUUUGAAUAGCAUAUAAAGCAAAACGAAAUAAACAUUUUAGUUUACAGUUAUGUAUCAUAAGACAUUAUCUCUAAAAUAUAUGAAUAAUUAUUAAAUUAAAAUAAAUUAUUUAGAUAAAUAAUAUUAAUUUGAUUUAUUUAUUUUGAAGAUAUAUUAUCUUUUGAAAAGCUAAACUAAAUAAUAAAAAUUGACAAUUCUAGUGUAGUAGGUGUUGAUAUUUAAAAAAAAAAAAAAACAAAAUAAGUAAUGAUUAAAAAAAAUGUAAAAGAUAAGUAUUGAAGAAAUUAGUUGAAACAAAGGAGAAUUAUGUUUUCAGGUUAAUCGAGUUUGAUAAUUAACCCAACAUCCUUAUAAGUUGCAUAUUUGAUGGAAAUGAUAUGUAAUAUUAAGGGACAAAAAUACCCCUUUCAACCGCCACAUCUCUCACACACACAUAUUGUAAUUGUGUGUAUAUUUGCUCUAUGACUUGGAGGCUUCAACAUAAAUGAGUAAAAAUAAUAUUAAAAAAAGAAGUAUGUUAAUCCUGAUUUCUUUUCACCAACCCAAUUGCUAUUUAUUUCUAGAUUUAUUUUAGGUUGGGUGCAAAUGUGUUUUUCUUUUUUAUUCAUAUUUUCUUCACAACAAAAAAAUAAAAUAAAAUAAAUAUUAGAGAUUGUUUGUUAAGUUGGGUUCCACUAUUCUCUUAAUCAUGCAUUGAAGGACUUUGUAAUAUUAAUGGUCAUUUUAUCCCAACAUUUUUUAGGGAAUUUUGAUAUCACCCAAUGUUUGGGAUUGUUUUUCUCAACCUACCUUGUUAGGUCCUCAUUGAAGCAUACAAGUUUUGCAAAUGCCUCAUUUUAAUCACAAGCCAAUGUAGCAUUCACAAUGCUAUCUAUAAGCAACCAAACAUCUUCCUUGUCUUUCUUUCCUUCAUUGUUUUGCUUACUGAAGAAGCUAGUAAAAUUCUCCUUCAAAUGACGAUAACAAUAUUUAUGAUUUUUCAUCCUAAACAACUCUAAAACACUAUGCAAAAUCUAUUUAAUAUAAUGACAACAUCUUUACCAUUAAGAAUCCUCUUUUAACUUCUCCAAGAACCAAUACCAAUCUUCAUAAUUUUUUGAACUUACAACACUAACUUCUAGAGGAAACAUUCCAUCAUCUACAUCAUAUGCAAUGGUAGACAAAAGAGUUCCCUUAUAUGGGUCGCUAAGGUGGUAAGAAUUAAUGACUAAUAUCGGUUGACAUCCCAUGAUGAAUCCUUGAAUUGAAAACGCAUGGGUAAUAAACAAUUUCAUAAAGUGCCCUUCAUUUGAAGUAUACUUUGCAAGAGUCCUCAGGUUAAUUUUCAUUAGCCUUUGGCACAACCAAGGCAAAAAUAGGUAGGAGUCACGAGGAGCACCAUAAAUGUACUCAUUCACCUUUCCUUUAAAGUGUCAUGUUUGGUUAUAUGUCAAGACUACUCUAUGCUUACGUGCAAAAUCUUUGCAUAUUUGACAAAGAAAAUAAUCUAGAGUUGUUUUAGACACUUCUUCAACAACAAUGACAACCCUCUUUGAAUGAACCUCCACUUAAGAUGAACAAUCAUUUUGAGCGAAGUGAUUAUGAUUAACUUGGCAAGUAUGGACUCCCAAAAUUUCAUUCCCUGCUACAAUGUGAGUUGUUAUCUUCAAGGGCAACCCUCAAUCAAACACUUUACUAACAUAUGUUUUGGUGAAUUCUUCAUGUACUUGUAUUGAAACCUCUUACCUAAUGACAUCAAGUAUAUUGCAUUACGGAACUAUUCUUCAUUUUUAAAUGUAUGACCUAACCCUAGUAAUACAUUACAAUACCAAUUCAAUUCUAAAGACAUGUACUCAGUUUUAGCACAUCGUGAUGUAAAAACUCUUGAUUACAUCAUAACAUCACAUAACGCAUUACGUGAUGCACUUGAGGAAGGAAACAUGGUAGGUGGCGUAGUACACAAAUACAAGAAAUAUAUUUAAUUCAUGUAUAAAUUUGAUGUUUACAAUAUUUUGGUCGAGUAUUCAUGUGAAAGAGCAUUACCCAUAUGCCAACUAUGUUAAUGGAAACUCACUAGCACAAGAACAUUGUUAGUGCUUUACAAUAUGCAACGAAAGAUCUAAUAUAACAUUUAGUGUGAAUAAUGUGAGCUAAUUCAUGCAUAAUCCUCUUGAUACACAUUAGAAAUCUAUUAAUAGAAUCACAUUAUAGGUUGCUCUUGAGGAAAUCUAAAGACCUGAAUUUAAUUGGCUACUCUGAUGUUGAUUAAGUAUCAAAUGUUGAUCACAAAAGGUCAACUAAAGGAUUUUGCAUUUACUUGAAGAAUAAUUUGAACACUUGGCGCUUGAAAAAGCAACGCAUAGUGUCUCGAUCAAGUAGGAAGGUUGAGAAUUGUAGUCUAGUGGUGUUGUAUGAUUUGGCUACAGUCAUUACUCAAGGAACUCACAAUUGAUCUAAGGUUACUACCAUCUUGUGUGACAAUUUGAUCUAGUCUACAAACCCAAUCCUUUACUCUCAGGCAAGGGUUGAACUUAUAUUGCGUUGAGAAAAAGUAAUUCAAAGUCCACUCAUAGUUCAACAUAUCUAGCAAUAGAUCAAGCAGCAGAUAUUUUUAUGAAAACAAUCUAAGCAACUUAUUUUCAAAGGCUGCUUGGCAAAAUGAAUAUUGUCCACUCACCUAUACAGUCAUUUUGUGGGUGGCAUAUUAAGGAAUCUAAUGACUCUGUUAAUGAAAACCUAAUAUAAGAAGCAAUGAUGGAGGCACGUGUCCAUGAUUAACUAUACAUCUUUGUUUUUCUCAAUGAAUAAUAUCAUGUCUGAAAACCAAAUGUUAUAGAACAUUUCCUUUGUUCUUUCCUUUCUUUUCCAGCAAUUUUUAUGGAACAUUUUAUUUUGUUCUUUCCUUUAUUUUCUGGCUGUAGUUACCCUUUUAUAAUUUUGUUGGUUGCUCACCUUUUAUAUGAAGAACUAUUGUAAUCCCUUCAAUGGAGGAAUGAAAAGAAACUUUCCAAAUAAUCCGUUUUCUAAUUUACUGCAUGUGAUUGCAUUCAAAUUUGUAGUGUCUAUUUCUAACUGAAGAAUGGCAAAACCUAAUUCUCCACAGCUGGAUUUGAAUUUGAAUUGUAGUCGUGGGAACUCGAGAAUAUUUCUUGGGAUUGUAGUCCUGGGAUUUUAAAGCCAAAUCCACCGAAAACACAUUGGAAUUAUGGCCGCCUAUGAUCCUAUCCUAAACACCAGGGUCCCAUUCAAUUAUAUGACCUCUAUCAGCUAAUGCUUCUCUAGCCUACUGAUUAGAGGAACCAUAUAAUUUGAUUGUGUUUGAAUAUGAAACCUCACUCAACGUCAUUUAAUUAAUCAAAUCAAUAUAUGAUCAGUCAUUAAUAAACUGUACAGAAUUGUAUUUCCAGUAGUCCUAAGUUUAGAAUGGCAAAGUCAUGUAACUUCAUUCAUGGGCAAAAAAAUUUGAUAAAAGAUUCAGAGUUCAAAGAUUGCCCAGACAUACCUUCGAUCCAGUGUCAUUCAAAGAGCUUUUGGGACACUGAUGAAAAGAUAAAUAGAGGUCCCAACGGUGAAAGAACUUAAGAAUGUAAUUAUCUUUGCCAAGAAAUAUACUAUGAUGGGUCAUGAACCCAUGGAAAAUCUGUGACAUGCAUAUUUGAUCCGUUUACAUUACCAUGGAAGUAUUUAGAAAGAGCUCAACAUGGGUUGCUGAUUUACCAGCCAUUGAUGAACUAACAGCUACGGCCUGAAUUACAUGCGCUAUAAGAAAGAACUUUAAUCAAUAGCUAAUCUAUUAACGUGGUAAAAUUAUUAAUAAUGCGGGCUUGUAUAAUAUGCACACAUAUCGUCACUGAUUGCAGUUUUGCCUCCUAACGUUUUUAUACCUGAAGUAUUGUUUUCCUUUUAUGACUGAAGAUGUACAUGACAUGCACUGGGCUUUCAGGCAUUCAUGCUUUGUUCUUUGAUGAGUAUCAACAAGAUUAUUAAUAGUUCAUAAAAAUUCUCAACAUUAAUUUACCACGAGCAUGUCCUUUUCCCUGAAAAACACACAUGAACACAUGCAGAGGCGAGCUGAAGAAUUCAGAUCUUUUAGUUCAGUUAGGACUUCAACUGAUCCUGAAACUCAUGGGAUACCAUGGAGGGUGUUUUCUAGCUGGGAGUUCCGCCUUUCUCUCUUCUGAUUAGACCAUAUGUAUUCGGAAUAUGGCCAUAAUUCUCACAUGGGCAAGCAUUAUUGGCGGUGGAUCAAUGCCAGCUAUCACAUCUCUAACCUAACUUAUCAUCACAUGACUAAUUAAGUGGUUAUGAAGUGAAUUAGGUUGCUUGCAGGCCAUGUGAUUUUGUCUAAUAUUAGGAAAUUCAUCUGUUAAGGCUAUCCCCACAUUGAUCCACUGGCUGUGACACCCAACAGUGAAGGAAACAUGUGGCCCCUUCAUGGUUAUUGAUUUGUCUGAUCUGUUUUACAUUUUGAUCAUCCAUGUCCCCACUGCUUGACUUGGCUCAGGAUUAAAUCAUAUCUUCCGAGGUGAAAUAGCCUGCCGUACCCAUUUUUUAAAGCGGCAAAUUAGCUAGAUUAGGCAGAAAAAAAAAGGUCUUGCUUGCUAUUAUGAUGUCAUUCUGUUGAAUAUAAUAGCCCAUAUGGUAGAUAGAGAAGAAAAAAAUGUUUAUUAAUUCCUGAUCAAAUUUGUAUUGAUAGCUUACCAAUAAUUGAGUCAUUUUAAAUGUUUUCCCAAAUUGUGCUUACUUCAUGUAUUGAUGAUUUUUGACUUCUCAUGCCCAUACAUUUUACUUUUGUGUAUCGAAUUUGAAAUUAGGCCAAAAUACUGUAACCACUCAAUCAAGGAUGUGGACAAGCUUGUACCAAUACCCACGUAACACUGCUUAAUCCAAUGAUCUGAAAACUUAUUCAUCUCCCCCGCCCUUACCUUGUGGAAAUUUUCUUGUGUUAGGUCUGAGGUGCUUUUCUUAUGCUAUUCUCAUGGAAUAGGAUACUGGGGAUACAAAUUAUUCCAGAUUCAGUAGUUUCGUAGCUCCAUUUCCCUACAUUAAUAUAAACCUGAGGUCAAAAUGGGUGACUCAAGCAUUUUGUCAACAUUACAAAUAGAAAGAGAUUUGGUAAUCUAGAUAGUUAGCAACAAAUUUAUUCUAAUGAGGGCUGUGAGCAAAAUAGAUUAUUUUAUCUCCUUAUUUUAUGCUUCGGAACCUUGCUUUUAUAGGUGGCCAAGAUGUGUAAGGACACGAAGCAUUCAGGUAGGUUUUUCUAGAACGUUAAACAGAUGAGAAUGUUCAAUAUUAUUGUCCUUAAUCACUUUUUAAAAGAAGCAUCAUAAAAGGGUUUUUGACCCUGUCUCCCAAAGCUUCAUCUCCAUGAUCCUUACAAACUAUAGAAAAUAUGGUUGUACAAAUGGGAAAGGAAGUAAAGAUAGGGCUGUGUGACAAAUAGCAGGCUGUGAGACGACUUUUAACCUAAUUCCUACCACACUUGUAAUUAAUUAAAAUGAUCAAAUCUUUAAGUCUCCUAAUCAAUUAUUUGUACCAUAUUGCCACGUGGAUAUAAAGCCAAGCAUUGUCUAAAUCAUUCAAUAAAAUAUGGGUAAUUGUUGUCAAAUUAUAAGUGGGUUGUUAUUUUUCCUUAAAUUUUGUAAGAUAUGAGAAAAGAGAACAUGUGAUACUAUUUUGUAUUUUGUUAUGGGUGCUUACUUAAUACUUUAUAACUUAAAUUGUAUUUAGGUUAUUAACUUAAAAUUUUUUUACGUAAUUCUUACUUUAAGUAUUAAAUUUAUCUGAUAAAAUUAAUUUAAAAUUUAUUCUAAAUCAUCAAAUUGAUAAAUUUACCAUCAUCAAUUAUGACUAGGAUAAAGAAGAUGAGUAAUAAUAGAGGUCAUAAAGUAACAAAAGAGAUUGUGAAAAUAAUUAUGAUAAAUGAGGAUAAAAAAGUAAAAUCUAAAUAUGAACUUAAGAAUAAAUUAAAUUAUUAUGUUGGUAUACCAAAUACCUAUGUAGGUAAACUUCUUUAUCAUAUAUAUAUUUUACUCUUUAAGGGCUAGAAUUAGAUAAGGUGAUGAAUGGACACAAGAUGUAAAUUAAACUGAAUAAUUGUAAUUGAUUUUCAUCUUUUGCCUCAGCAACAUUUGAAGAUGAACAUUAACCUUUUUCUACCACAAACCACUGAGACACUUAUUCAAAUAAGAUCUUUUAUAACUGAACCUGUUAUCAUUUUCUGGUAACAGGUAAGGUUAAUUUUUCUAGUAUUGUUGCCAGGAGAAUGUAGGUAGAAUCUAAAUGAACUGGUAUUAUUUCCUCUGCAAGAACAAAUAAUUUUCCUUCUUUUUGCAUUAAUUUCUCAUUGCAUGCUAAUUUGGAUGCCUCACGGUCAUCAGCACUUCAUUUUUUCUGUAUCAUUUGAAAUUAAAUUCCACCUAUAUAUAAAGUAGGAUCCUCGCCAUAAACAGCAGUAAAAGAUGGGAAGAAAAUCAAUAGGCUUACAUAAAUGUUCUACGUACUGGAAACCUGUAUAUACAAUAUUUAGAUUGAUUUAAUUGUCACUCGACAUGCACAUGUUGGAUUAGUGUCUAGCAACACCUCGGUCCCGCAACUUAAUUUUAUGUAAAGAUGCUGGGUCCUGGUGUGGGUGGUGGUUUGCACAUUUAAAAUUUUCUUUCAAUUGAAAAAACAUUUGGGAAGGUAAAAUUUAAAUGUUGAUCCCACCCGUGGGGCACCCAAAGGCGGCAAUAAUUUUCCCUUUAUCUCCACACCACCGGUUCAGAUUAUUAGAAAAGCCCUUUUGAGGUUGUCAUGUCAUAUUUAAUAAACUAAACAAGGUGGGCUCUUCAACAGCACGAUUUUCAAAUACAAACAUUAAAGAGGAGGUUGAUAGACAGAUUUUUCGUAGUCAUAAUGAAUGGAUUACAGUUGCAUUAGCCUUUUCAAUGGUCAUAGAAGUGAUGCAGUCUGAGUUUCUUUUUCACUUUACUCUUCUUCAAUUCAAUGGCGGAUUUAAACUCUAUCAUCCGUAAUUCACAUAUUACUAAAGGGCUUCUUUUGUAGUUCAAAGAAGGAGUUUGUGCCAGUAUAUGAAUUCAACUUCACACAAAAGAUCAAGGAAAGUUCCCUUCAAAAUCCAGAGUAUAAAAUCAUCACGAUCUUUGGAUUUCCAGACUUUACAGUCAAGAAACCAUUAAAACUAACACAUCUCAAAAUCCUAUAAUAAUUUUCUGAAGCUAUGUACAAAAAGGAAAAUGGCAUAUAUCAAACACACUGAAUCCUUAAUUGCCAGACUUUAAUUUCACAAUCCAAACUACCACUGUAAAUAAGAUAAGCAGCAUCAUCGUCGGAAUUGCUUCUGCCAUUGUAAUUGUCAACGGCAGCAGUCAAACACUUAACUGGGCCUCUGUGUCCUUCAAAGACGGCCAAACAAGAAUAGCUCCUCUGAAGUCCCUUCUUCCAAAUCCUAACUGUCUUAUCGGCCGAUCCACUGAACACCAAAUCCGAGACAAUGGCCAGGCAUAAAAUGGCCUUGGUGUGCCCUCUAAGUGCACCAGCAACCACCAUGUGCCCACCACUGGAACUAGUAUCUUUUUCCCAUACAAUAAUUGAUCGAUCACAUGCACCUGAAUACAACACUGAUCCAUCAGGGCUAAGAGCUAAGGCAUUAACAGCUGACUUGUGUUUCUCUAGUGUAGCCACAAGCCUAUGCUUCUUCUCUCCUUCAUGCUUCUUCCACACCUUGAUUUUCCUGUCAGCGGAACCAGUGUAAACAAUCCCAUCGGUGGACAGCACUAGUGCAUUGAUCGCGUCAUCAUGUGCCUUUUCCGCUGACUCCAGACAUCUGAAGUCGGUGGUUUUCCAAAUUUUGAACGUUCGAUCCCAGGAAGCGGAGUAUAGGAGAGAGCCAUCUUCUGACAAGGCUAAUGCAGAUAUGGUGUCAACGUGAUGAACCCAUGUGCAUUUCUUGUGCCUACGCACCUGUACAUAGUUACUGGCUGAAAAGAGUUUCAAGGCACGAUCACUCAGCGUUGGGAGUGUGGCCAUGCACUUGUAUUUUUGGUGAGGAGAAUCGUUGUCGACUUUCCACACUCUAAUUUUUUGAUCUUGGUGGGCACUGAAUAGUUUAUCUCCCAAAACCACCAGGGACUUCACCGCACCGUUGCCUAGAGCUACCCCGUUGUCGUUAGAAGUCUCUAGCCUCGAAGGAUCUCUGCUCCAUAUCCGAAUCUCCUUGUCGGAAGAGCCACUGUAGAGGAAUUUUCCGGCUAGGGCGAGGGAGAAGACAUAGGAGGAGUGGCCUUUGAGAGUGGAAAUGCAGUGGUGGUGGGUGGUGAUGGCUUGUUCAUGCCGUCGGGAUUGGGAGGUGAGAGAAGGAACAGAUGGUAGACUUGGUUGAGAAGCGAGAGAGUUUGAUGAUUCUGAAUGAAGGCAUGAAGAAUCUGAGUGAAGGUGAUGUGCUUGUGCUUGAGCUUGAGCUUGAGCUUGAGCUCGAGAUUGAGAUUCUUUCUCUUUAUGGCAAGACAAGGGACAUCGGAGAAAUCCCAUUCUCUCUCAAGCCUUUCGAGAGCGAGAAAGCAGCACUAGAAGACGAUGGGUGGGUGAGGAUAAACGUAACACGCUUAUAAAGAUGAUGAAAGGCGCGUAUUUUAGCACGAAGUGAACCUAGAGAGAGGGUAGCACAUUUUAGAAAAAGUAAAGUUGGGCCAAGGUGAACUAUUCAAUUUGAGGGGUUGGAGUCAGCCUGUGGCAAUCGGGUUGCAUCACUCGGAUAUCUAUGGCCAUGCGCAUCUCUCCAAAUUAAUUUACACUCCUCACACAUAACUUUUCCUGUAUUCUUUUUUCAGCCCAUUUGACGGGUGAUCAGCACCCUCUUUAUGGUGCCACUAGAUGUUGCGGAAAAUGCCAAGAUGUUUCCAUGGAAGAGCCGGACACAAGUUGCGAAAAUUCUUGAACAUUUUUUGUUUGGAUAUUAGGAUGGUUAGUGGUGUUCACAUCAAGUGCCGUGUCCCCACUAUUUUAUCAGAGUUACUUUUAGCUGGUCCUAGAACACCAUUCUUGCUGGCCCAAGCUCAUCCGUGGGUGGAUAGAUCGAGAUAUUUGGAUGUGGAAAAUAUGGAUCAAAGGAGACCCGUGUGGGCACCAUCUCAUUUGGUCUACAAACUCAUUAAUCUUCUUCAUCUAAGGUUACCCAUGGGAAGAUGCGGUCAGAUCGGGAUGUCCAAGUCCAACAGCUAGUGAUCGUUUUCUGAAUGGGAUUGUCAAGUUUCUACACUAUCCUCCCAAUCUGGUGGUGCUGGGGACCAGUUUGGCAGCUUAUGUAAGUUGAGAAACCUUUCUGUAUUGGCGUAAAUAAAUCUUAAAAAAAUGGAAUAUUAAAUAUAAAAGAUGAAAAAGAAAUGCAGUUUGGAGUCGUAAAUAAGGAAGGCUCCAAUGAAGGAGUGAGAAGUACGUGUUGAAGGAACCUCUCAUCCCUUGACAUUUUGGAUUUUUGAAAAGAGAGAAAUGUGUUUUCAACCCGUUGAAUAAUUGAGGUAAGAUCCUCCUAUAAGGUAGAAUCUCAAUUGGAGUUAUCUUUUACUUCUAAACUUCUAUUUCAUGAUAAUUAACUCGGGAGUAAAAGAUAAUCUUCCUAUCCCUAUGUAGUGGCAUCGGACUUAGUAAUGCCCCCUAAAUCAUGGGAAAGUCUGAUCAUUGGGCCAAGGCCUUAUAAAAAAAAGUAUAUAGCUGCUAAAUAUACUUACUAUUAAAGGUUGUCCCUGAAGCAAAAUGCGCGCUCCGCCUUACGCGUGAGCCAAUGUGCAAGAUUUAUAUUUAUGUCCUCAUUUAUUUGGUUAGAAAAUUGAAUCUUAUCAAUAAGUAAAAGUGACAUUUUCUUUCCUUUCUUUAUUUGAUUUUAUAUAAUUAAAUUUUACCAUCCGUACCAAGUGGCAUGUUGUACAGAGCUAUCCACUAGACUAUGCAACAUGUCGGCGGCAUAACUACUCAUUAUGAGUGUCAAAUAUCUGUGGGCGGACACUAAAAGGCGCAUGGGUCAUCCACAUUUGGAUUAUACGUGAUCAUCAUUUUAAAGGGCUUCAUGCCCCUCGCCCUUGCCUUGGCUCAAUCUGCUACAUGCAUUGAACACUAGCAGUGGCCUAAAUUUUUUGACACACCACAUCAAAGUCAACAGCUGAUGAACAAAACCAGGUGGAUGUCUAACGCGCAUUCAUUUGUAACCUGUGAAACCACCAAAGUUGUGCUAUCAAUCUAAAUUUCGGUUAUUAGUUGCUGUCGCUAUUUAAUUAUCACACUAUUCACAACCAUCGACUAAAGUUGUAUGAUUUAUUUACACAAUUAUUAAAAAAUAUAAUCAAUCAAAUCAAAUCAAAUGAUAUGAUUUGUGUUAUAUAUAUUACAUCUUACUUUCAUAAGUCCUUAUAUUAAUCCCUUUAUUUGCAUCUUAUCCCCUCUAAAUAUUUUACUGUUCAUUUUUAACAAUAGAGAUAGACAUCGAGAGUUUGAUAACUACCCUUUUAAUACUUAUGUUUUUCUUCUUUUAAUUUGGAUUGGAUUUUCACUAUCUUAUUUUAAAUUAUAUUUAACUCUAAAAAAAUAUUAAGAAAAAUUGAUUUCUUCUUAUUGAGUUUACUAUAAAAAAAUUCUAAAAAUAUUCGAAUAUAAUUAAAAUUAUAUAAAAAUUAAUGCAUUUUCAUAUUAUUUAAGUUAAAUAAAUAAAAUGAAUUUUAAAAAGUAACAUAUAAAUAUAAUUAAUUAAGUUUAAUUUUUUUUUUUUACUUUUCAUUUAUAUAUUAUUCCUUGUAUUUUUCUUUAAGCUAUUUUUUUCUUGAAAAAUUUAACAAAAAAUACAAAUAAAAAGAAAAUAAAAUACAUUAGAAAAAGAAAAAGUAAAAUGAAACAAAAUAUAUAUAUAUAUAUUUCAACCUUUGACUUAUUUUAAUUCAUCUAUACAAAUAAUUUAAAUAUAUAUAAAUUUUUAAUCAAUUUUAAUUAUAAUUUAUUUCUAUUUAUUUAUCAUGAUACAACAAAAAUAAGAAUUUUUUUUCCCUUUUUUUUCUUUCCACGUUACUUUCCUAACUAAGCAUAUCCUUCUUCACACUGAAAAGUUAGAAUUACGUGUGAAUUCUCAUUCCAGAAAGAAUCUCUUGAUGCAGUUCUUGGUCAAAGAAAUUAUGUUUCUUUUCCUCUGGUUCUACAAUUUUUUUCUUGGAUACUUCCUCAAUUGUCUGGUUAAAAACCAGUUUGAUCUUCAAGACUGGGUCCAAGGAACAUUUCUUCAAACCGAAAGCGCAAUGGUUUUACGGACAAAGAAAUAUAGAGCUGGCUGGCUAGUAAAGUCCGUCAACGACUGACCAAAAGGGUUUCUGUUGAACUCAAGACAGCUUAGACAGGAAAGGUUUUAGACCAACUAUAAAGGGCUCUUGUUUUAUGCACCCAGUUUUUCAACAAAGGCGUAUUUAAAAUCAAACCAAGAUGUUGAAUUACCCGGUUUUUCCAUCUUUUUGUGGGUUUGUUCGUAUACGGAAGGAGUGGAUGGGGCUGUAGAUCCUUUUCAAACCGAUAAAAUCCGGCUGCAAAUUGCAAAACCCUGCCUGCAACUUGCAGGACCCUUCCAAGUGUGCUGUCUGUGGGACCUAAAAGUGGAGAAUUGACCAUUACAUUUAGAAAGACCUGUGAUUCAACGAUGCGCAUUGCUUUUUCUUUUUAUUGUUACAAUGUGUACGUUCGAUAAAAUCUUGAUGGAUAAUGUGAAAUCUUAGCCAAGUCCGAAUCAUUCCCCUGGGAUUUUCUUUCUUUCAUAUGGACAGACAAUAUUAUUUCUUCCUGCUUUCUAGAAGACUGACGGGUAUGCCUUGUACAUAAAGUUUAUCCACACAAAAGUUGUACUUUCAAUUUUUUUAUUUUAUUUUACGUUAUUAUUGUUACUGCAUGGACAUAUAAAAAUAUUUUUCAAUUUGGAAUUUUUUUUUUAAAAUAGACAUAAUUCAUAUAAAAUAUAAUGAUUCCUUUGAGUUAUGACUCAACACCAAUGACGAAUUCAGGAGGAAUUUCAAGAAUUCUUGUUAUAUGCCAGGUCCAACCCUCAACUAUUUUUUUUUCUUCUAGAUUUAUCGAUAUGAAAUCAAUUGAAUGCACUUCUACCACUUAUUCCAUUUUCAGAAGAUCAUGUAUUAUGUCAUCAUAUCCUGAUUUUUUUCAUUUAUAAAUAUAAUUAAUAUUCAUGAAUGGUUGCUUUCAAAGUAGUUAAAUAAGGUUUAGCUGAUAUUAUUAUUAUAGAGUCAACUGAAACAAUUAGAACUUCAGGAUCCAUUUAGUCAUAAUUUUUAAAAUUUGUUUUUAAAAAUUAUUUUUUAUUUUUUAAUUUCAAAACAAUUUUUAAAAAUAAGUUUUAGAAAAGAUAUUCAAAUAGAUUAAUUUUUUUUUUUUUUGUCUUUAAAAUUUGGUAAAACCAACUUAUAUUUGUUUUCUAUUUUAUUUUGUUUUUAAAAAUUGUUUUUAGAGAGCAACAACUAAAUGAUGUUAGAAUUUUUUUAAAAUAAAUUUCUAUUUUUAAAAAUAGAAAAUUAUUUUUAAAUCAAACAAUCAAAUAUGCUCAAAAUUUUAAAAUGAUAAUGUGUAAGAGUGAGAGAGUUAAUUAAAAUGGAAAUUAUCACUUAAAAGAAAGAAAAAAAAGAACAAAUAAUAUAAAUUACAUACUCAUGAUAAAACAGAUUAUAACUCCUAAAGCAACACAUAUGGAACACAAAAUAUUCAUCACCAUAACUAUAUAUAUAAAAGGUAGAGAGAGGGAUAAGAUCUUCUCCACCAAUGAAAUUGGAUAGGUGAAAGAAGGCAACUAGACGAAGGAUGUGAUGACUUCGAAAGGCAAAAUAAAAUUGAUGACUUGCCAUCGAUGAGUAAGGUGAAAAGAUGGUGGAUAAAUGUGAAAUGGUUACUUUAUAGCUGUCAUGGAAUCCAUCAAAUAAUUAGAGCAGUAGAGAUUUGGAUGGUAUUGGUGGUGAGGGGUGCGUCAGCCCUCAGGAGGCCAAUUUCUAUGCCUUCCAGCACUGGCACCCCCAACCAAUUCAUCCAAGAUGAUAAUAUAUUAUCAAUAUCCAUCACUUAUGGUCUUCUCAUAUUUGAAUUUUACUGUUCCUCUCAAGAUAGAGGGCUAUUCAUCCAAGACUUUGUCUUCACUUAUGUCUCUUUAUGGGCUCCAGCAAACUCACGAAUGAAGAAUGACUAUGACUCCUGACCAUCUUGGUGUAGUGACUCCAUUGACAAAGGUAGAGAGAAUUUGGAAUGAUAAUGAGUAAAUGAUAACUAAUUCUACUGAUUUAUCUGCUUUCAUGUAGACUGAGUGUUGUAAGUGAACAUGGUGGGUUCUUAUUUCUUUAAGGUAAGAUGAUGCAUUUAAUAGACAUUAAUCACGCCUCAUGAUUUGGUAGAGGGCUCCAAGCUUAAUGAUAUAUCAUAAUAAAAAAAACACCUACAUAAUGGACACAAACCUCUUGACAAGUGAAAUUAUAUUAAUUUACAUCAUAAAAUAAUAAAAAUUAAAUUAAAUUAAGUUUAAACUCGAUAAUCCUUUUUGAUAUUGUGUUUGGGUACACAAAGACUAAAGAAAAAUCAAACCAUGUUAGCACGCCAUGAGGUGGUUGGAUUAAAUUGAAACCAACAUUGAAGGGAAGCAUGUCAUAUCAAUUGGGAAUUGGCCUAUUUGAGGGGGUGAAGUUAGGAACAAAAUAUAGGUGGUGAUAUGCAUUUCAGGAGGAAUUUAUAGAAUAAGAUGGAGUUGAUUUUUGAAAAUUGAAGAUAAAUAACAAUAAGAGCUAAUAAGAAUAUGGUGGUUCCAAAUUUUUUACCGAAGUGGUUAAUGGAAAUUGAGAGAAACAUUUGGCAUGUCAACAAAAGGAUAAGUAGUUGAAAGAAAUUGAGAAAGCAAAUCAAAAGAAAUUAGGAGAGCAAGUGUAGCACAUUAAGCCACGUUGUUUGCAUGCUUGAUAAAAUUUUAAUAUAAGUUGAAAAAGUAUUUAGUAGCAUUAGGAAGGUGGAGAUAUUUUUGAAGGUUAUGAAAGACAAAAGAUAUAUGACAGCUUAACAAGAGCACAAUAAUACGACAAUUGCAUUAGAAGGGGACUUUAUUAUGGAUUUUUUAAUAUAUAUAAGUAAAGGAAGACUUAAGGAAAAUUAUAUCUGCACAUCACAUCACAUCAAUUUAACCAAUGCUACUGUUAUGCGUUUUUAAUAUUUUCAUUAUUCAUCAUCAAGCUUCUUAUCUACUUUUAGAAAUAGGAUUAAAGUAGGGCUCAUCAUAGGUUAAGAGAAUGUCAAAUUGUUUGUUUCUAUUUGGUUUCUUCAAGGCUAAGUAUCCUCAUUAUAAUAUCCCCUUAUGCAACUUUUUAUGUGAGUUUUUAUCAAUGUUUUUAAGAUCAAAUCAGUCAUUGAAUUGAAAAAGUUACUGAUUCACGGUUCACUAGUCAAAUCGAUGGUCGAAUUGAUGAUGUCAUAAAUAAUUAAAUAUAUAAUUUAUAAAUUAUUAAAAUUUAAAAUAAUUAUAAAAAUAAAAAUAAUAUUUUAUAUAUUAUUUAAAAAUUAAAAUUUUAUUUGAAAAUCAGAAAAUUAGUUUCAAAUUAUAAAUAAAUCAAAAUUAUAAUAAAAAAAUAACACAUUAAAUAUAAAACAUAUAUAAAAAAACAUAUACCCUUCCUACAAUCCUCUUAAAUUUAAUUAAAUGCAUCGUUUUCACUCUAGAAGAGUUGUAUCUCCUAUAUCAGUUUCAAACAAACACCAACCAAACACUCCCAAAAUCAAUUAAAUAACCGGUCCUAAUUUGACACGAAACCUAAAUUCUUCCCCACAAAUCCAUUCAAAGAGGUAACCAACCAAGAUUCAUCGAAGAUUAAAAAUUCGAAAGAGAAAUAACGAAAUCCCUCAUUUCAACCUAAAUCUUCACCAAAGAUAUUACAUGAACAAGAUCUUCCUCUACUUCUUUACACAGAAGGGAAAAUAAAAAAUAAAUAAAAAACUGAAAGAAGAUGAUAUAAAGGAGAUGUGCACAAUUUUUCCUAAUUAUUAUUUUUUAAAACAACAGAGCAGAAACCAUUAACAUUACAUUUCCCAUCAUAUUACAACCCUUGCCCAUAAUUAACCCCAAAUUACACAGAUCAUACAAACACAAAGAUACAUACUAGUAAUUAUCCUCUUCUUUCGUCCCAAUCCUUUGUUUUUUCUUGAUUUUUCAUAUCUUUUUUCCAUUUAAAAAAAUCAUGGAAAAAUGGAUCUUUAAUUUGUGAAAGACGCGAUGGUGAGACGAAACGAAAUUAAUUCAGAUUCCAAUAGUCCAGGUUCAAAUCCGGGCAUAGAGAUCUGGAUUUGUAAUAGUUUGAUAAUUUCAUUUGUCAAUUGAGCCGGAGCGGUUUUCGAAGAUCUUUCGUUGCCCAGUCGUCAACGACAAGCGACACCUGCUUCUUCUUCGAAAAAAACGGUAACUGAAGAGAGCUCAAAGAAAAAUCAAUAUGGCGUCGUUUUGACACAAAAAACAAAAAAAAAAAAAAAAAUUAAAAAUUGAACUGUCUAGUUCACCAAUCGGACCGCCAAUUCAAUCGGUCCAAUUCCGAUUCAAUCACUUUUUGGGUCAAUUGACCGGACUGGACCGGAACCAUGACCAGCCGACGAUCAGACCAGUCCGAUUUUUAAAAUCAUGGUUUUUAUUCUUUAUGAUUUUUUUUAUCUGUUUUAGAUUAACAUGAUAAUCCCAUCAAUGUAAUGAGAAUGUUACUAUCCAUAAAAAAUAUAUUAUAAUUGGAUUAUUCUUUUAGCAUGGUAUUGUGUUGCAAUAGUUUCCUAUUCUAAUCAAUUCUAGUAUCCACUGCAAUAUCAAUGAGGAAGUAACGAUGUUAUGUCAACUAGCUUUGCACCCUUCAUAGUAUCACUACAGCCAAUCAAUGAAAGCUAGAUUGGAAUAAAAGCUCCAGUACUGAAUCACUAAAGUGGAAGAACGAUAUAAGAGAUGACUAUUCUAACAUGCAAUGUGUCGUCAAUAAAGCAUUAUUCCAAUGUCUUAGCCUCGUCAUGGCUUGAUGGCCAUAUUCCACUAAAACUAUUAAUAAUGCCAUUAUUUAAACAUUGAACAUGCCAUCUACGAAGUAUUAUUCUAGAGUCAUGGUAUCAUCAUGAUUUAGUUGAUGGAGCUACUAGUUUUGUUCUCAUAGUUCACUCAUUAGAAAUUUGAUAGUACGAGUCAUUGUUCCAAUAUUAAGCAUUUAACAAUAUUACAAACACCUUCGUAUAACCAUGGUCUGAUCAAUAGGACCAUUGAUUUGUAUUUCAAUACUCUAGUAUUAAUCCGUUAAAUAUUUGCUUAUAACAUUAUUCCAAAGCAACAUCAUUCAAAAACAACAUUACUCCAUAAUAGCAGCAUUCCAAAGCUAUUUUAGAAUGGCAAUAAUCAUGCAUCCUUAAAAACCAGGAAUAAGUUGGUGCAAUAUUCAUCUAUCUCAAUCCUAUAAUUGUUGUCAUCAUGGUAUGGGUUAUCCAUGAAGAAGGGUGGGAUGAUACGUUUCAUUUGAAAAAAAAAAAAAAUGACAAUGGCAAUAAUAAUAAUUUUAAAACUUAACCAACUGGCCGAUAGAAUACAAUAUGAUACCUUGUUCAACUUUUUGGUAUUGAUGGCUUGAAGAUAACAUUAAUGAUCAUGUUGUUAUCUGGCGAGACAUUUAAAAUGUGGUCAGGUUGAAAGUAUACCCUAAAACGUUACUCAUCAAUCAACCAAUACCAGAAUUUUCAUUUCCUACAAAAUUUUAAUUUAAAGCGCAUGGAGAAGAAAAACUAAACAAUAUCCCAACUUGCAUUAAUGUAUUUGACCCAAUUUGCAUGGGUGAAUCCCUCCAAUUUGUAAUGCCAUCAUCAUUGAAAGAUAACAUAAUUAAGAGCAACUUGGAAGUUCUUGGAACAUUAUAAUUUCCACUUCAAUUUUUUUUUUUCAGAGAGAAUAAAAAGAAUGAUUUCUGUUGUGACUUCUUUGUCCGUUUUCCCAACAAAAUGAGCAUAUAAUUUAAGAAUAUUUAAUUACUGCGUCCAUUCUCAGAGUUUGAGUAUUGAGAGUAGCAUCGCUGAAUUCAAAAUAUAAGACAUCAUCAUUAAGAGAGCAUGAUUGAGCCGGAGGGCUUGAAUAUUGAGUGCCAGGGCCUGCCUCACUAAGGUUGGGGUUUUUAUGACUGCCAUAGUGAUGUAAGCCCAUUGGAUGGGCCUUGUGGGAGUUUGGCCCGUGGAUUUUCGGUAGAGGCGGAAGAGGGCAUGGGCUUUUGUCUUUGAACCUUAAGACCCAACAAAUUCGAGUGGAACACUUGGCAUCCAGCAAACUCAAACAAUGCUUGAAACCCCAAAUCUGAAAAUUUUUAGAGAAAGAUAGAAGAUGUAGUUGGAAGCCACCUAAUGGUACAACUAGCAUGAGGAUAAAAGGGGCAGUGUAAGGUUCACAUGUUUCGUAUAGCAUAGCACAAUAGUACAUGACCCAAGUAUGGACAUAUGGUAAAUAUACUUUUUAUUAUCAUAAUUAAGUACUAGUAUUUGCCAAAACACAACAUUCAUUACCCUUGUUCUCUUGAAUACGACAUCUUCCACCCACAUUCCCCAAGAAUACACAGGUAAAGAUGCUGAUUUAAAUAUAUUAAAACUAUAUAUGGCAUGAGGUAAAAAUAAAAUAUAAUAUAUAUAUUUUAAGAUAUCGUAUUCAUAAAAUAUAAAUAUUUUAUAAUAUCAUUAUAAUGAAAUAUAAUAUUAUUAGAUAUUAUUUAUAUUAUAUAUAAUAUCUAAAGAUAUUAUAUUUAAUAGGAUGUGUUAUAUUAUGUUUAUAUUUUAUUAGUAAAAUGAAUAAAAAAAAUAUUUAAAGUUUAUAUGUUUGGUAUUUUUUAAAAUUAUUUAAUAAUUUAAAUUUUAGUAAAUAAUUAUUUAUUUAUUUAUUAUUAAAAUAUUUAAAAUUUAUAAAUAAAAAAUUUAUAUAUUAAAUAAUACAUAUAUUAGUAUUAUUUUAUAAUAAAAAGAUAAUAAAAUGGUGGGAGAAGAAGAAUGUGUUUGAUAAUGAUUUUAAAAAGUGUUUUUAAUCUUUUUAAUAUUUAAAAUUUUUUAUCUCUAUAAUAUUAAAAAUGUUAAAAACACUUCUUAAAAUCACUUUCAAAUAUAUUCGAACACAGAUUUCAUGAGUCAUAUGUUACGUAGCGUAGGAUAUCGGUGUAACUUUUCUAAAUUUUAUUAGUGAAACAAACACUAAAAUUGUUGGCAACGUACCACGUAAAACGUGUGAUAUUUGUACAAUUUGCCCUAUUAGUGAAACGAAAGCUAAAGUGGUCGGUAACCUCACCUCUCUAACGUUUGAAGGUGGUACCGAAGAAAAUUGGAGUGACGUGACACACAAAGCUUUGGCCGCCAGAAUUUUGGAAGCGUUAAUGAGAUUAGACUCCCUAAAUGAAUAGCCUCCAGUCCUUUUCUCUAGUUCGUUAAACAACUGUUUAACUUUAGCCACCCUCAAUGAUGGAUGGAAACAACACACACCCGCAGCCUCUGCCUGGAGGGCGGAGGGCCCAAUCUUAAUUUCUUUAAACAAGACAAAAGGAGGAGCCUUUUAAGGCCUAAACUAUUAAACUAUUGGCCCAACCCCACAAAAGACAAGUUGGAUAUGGACAGCACAGGAGAACUUUAUUUCUAUACGGAAUUAUGGCAAGUGAUUUUUUGCAAAGCUUUGGUGAUUCCCACAUCGGUCAUCUUCUAUUUGAAAAGACAAUUUACAGCCUGUGAUGAAAUACUGGGAAAAAAAGACAGAAAAAGAAACAAAAACAAAAAUCAGAGUCUGUGAUCACAUUUUCAGUUUUCCUAGUACUAAAAAUUAUAAACUGCAUAAACCUGUACUUUAUUUGCAGUAAGGAAAGCUGAUAAUCCUUCUGAAAAAUCAACAAAAAUCACUGAAUAAUAAUAUAUAUACUGUGAUGUAUGAACACAAAAUCAACUCUCAUACAUCACACGUGUAUGCGUAUACCACUAUCUAAAAAUAAAAAAUUAAAAAAAAAUUAAUUACAAAGCUCACAACAUCAACAAACCAAAUCCAACGGCCAAAAGGAUCCCAAAACUCCACCGUGGAGCUGCAGUGUAGGCCCCGCUAUUAUUAGUGGUUUCGCUCUCCUGAGACGGCGACGUAGAGGAACCAUUGUAAUUGGGAUUACUGCCGUACAAUUCCUGAAUCCCCUGAAUGUCAUCACUAGCAAGCUCCACCUUCUUUGUCCGUGAGGUGAUCGUUGGGUACAUGAUCGCUUCUUCUACCGACGAGUGCCCUAACCCAAGCAGAUGCCCAAUCUCGUGAACCGCCACGGAUUCCAGGUCGAUCGCCGAAGAUAUAGACGAUGUUGUGACGUCGCCUGUAGCUACCCAAUUCUCCUCGCCGUCCAAGUGGAACCGUCCGUUCGUAGGAGAGAAGGCGUGUGCUAGGGUUCCCAAUACUCCGUCGAAAGCCUCUCCGUCGCCGUGGUCUCCGGUGUAGAAUGCAAUCCUGAGAUCGGCGGAGUAAUACGAAUCACUUUCCGUGAAAGUCAAGGGCGUUACUGCCGCCCACCGCUCAAAUGCGCUUGUGAACACGGCCUUGACGGUGUCCGACAACUGAUUGUCUGGCAGAAACCCGUACGUCAGAUUACGCUUUGACUCCGGCCAGACAGGCUUGCCAUCGAAGAAGCUGUAGUGACCGACGGUGUGGAAAUGGCCGCUGGUCGACGGCGUGGAUUUACCGGAAUUCAUGGAACUGGAGCCGUUUUCUAUGUCAGCAUUGCCGCAUCUGGGACUCACAAUCUGAUUUAGGGUGGCUUCGUCGAGUUGUCCCGUGGUAUUGAGAUUGAAAUUGAGUUGAUAAGUCUUGAGAGCCUGUUCAAAAGCAUCGUCGAAGUCAUCAGUGUAGUUGGAAUUGUGGAUGUAGCCAAAGUAGUGGAAGUACUCUUUGAGCUUGGCUAAGCCGUCGGCUUUAUCUCCAGCAUGACACCCAGCGAACUUCUUGAAUGCAUCCCAGCCGCUCGUGGUGGCGUUGGGCGGUGACGACGGAGGCAUAGAUGGUGCAUUUGGGAAGAAACGCGCAGAGACUGAUGUCGUGAGAAGUGGAAGAAAAAUUGCAGCACAGAGAACAUGAAAUCUCAUGUUCGUUUGUUUGUGUGAUGAAAGCAUACAGAGAAAGAGGGGAUGAUUGGUUUGAUAGAAAAUUGGCUGAAAAUUUCAAGGCCUGAGGGAUGCGGACUU